rnacentral:rRNA from 1 species
GAGGAAUAUUGGUCAAUGGGCGAUGGCCUGAACCAGCCAAGUAGCGUGAAGGAUGACUGCCCUAUGGGUUGUAAACUUCUUUUAUAAAGGAAUAAAGUCGGGUAUGCAUACCCGUUUGCAUGUACUUUAUGAAUAAGGAUCGGCUGACUCCGUGCCAGCAGCCGCGGUAAUACGGAGGAUCCGAGCGUUAUCCGGAUUUAUUGGGUUUAAAGGGAGCGUAGAUGGAUGUUUAAGUCAGUUGUGAAAGUUUGCGGCUCAACCGUAAAAUUGCAGUUGAUACUGGAUGUCUUGAGUGCAGUUGAGGCAGGCGGAAUUCGUGGUGUAGCGGUGAAAUGCUUAGAUAUCACGAAGAACUCCGAUUGCGAAGGCAGCCUGCUAAGCUGCAACUGACAUUGAGGCUCGAAAGUGUGGGUAUCAAACAGGAUUAGAUACCCUGGUAGUCCACACGGUAAACGAUGAAUACUCGCUGUUUGCGAUA